GCGAAGUAGUUCAGUGGUAGAAUAACAACCUUGCCAAGGUUGGGGUCGCGUUCGGAAUCCCGUCUUCCGCUCAA
rnacentral:tRNA from 1 species